rnacentral:rRNA from 1 species
AACAAACGCUGGCGGCGUGCCUAACACAUGCAAGCCGUACGAGAAAGGGUCCUUCGGGGCCUGAGUAAAGUGGCGCACGGGCGAGUAACGCGUGGAUAAUCUGCCCUUCAGUUGGGAAUAACUCAUCGAAAGGUGGGCUAAUACCGAAUAAUGCUGUGAGACCUCGGUUGAUCAGCCAAAGAGAGCCUCUGCUUGCAAGCCCUCGCUGAAGGAUGAGUCCGCGUACCAUUAGCUAGUUGGUAGGGUAAUGGCCUACCAAGGCGACGAUGGUUAGCUGGUCUGAGAGGAUGAUCAGCCAGACUGGAACUGAGACACGGUCCAGACUCCUACGGGAGGCAGCAGUGAGGAAUCUUGCGCAAUGGGGGCAACCCUGACGCAGCAACGCCGCGUGAGUGAGGAAGGUCUUCGGAUCGUAAAGCUCUGUCGGAUGGAAAGAACCGCAUAGGGGUAAACAGCCCCUGUGUCUGACGGUACCAUCAAAGGAAGCACCGGCUAACUCCGUGCCAGCCGCCGCGGUAAAAC